AUGAACUCCCUGCUGCUGCAGCCAUCAAUGGUUCCCAAGUGACCUUCUGAUCCUCAAUUCCUGGACCAUCCCAAGGAUCCUGGGGCUGCUGCCUGGAUUCCUGACCAGAUCAGGCCAAACAGAGCAACACUGCUGGAGAUCCAAAUAUUCCCUACAAGGCAUCAUCCAAAUACUAACCACAAAUCACAGGGCAUGUGAUGCAUUUACACAAGGAACUCCAUGUCUUUCAUGUGCUUCGCCCGUCAGUACUGCACAAAAAAUUGAGUGAAAUAUCCUUUCAAAAGUCCAUUUGCAGAGCAAUGAAAUGAAACCAUCUUAAUCCUACAGUAUGUAAAAGUGUAUAAAUUUGGCAGUGACACAUGGAUGUAUAAUUGUACAGCUUAUGUACUGCAUUAAUGAGGUAUAAAACUUGUCUCAGAAAUGCAGCUAUGCAGUGCCUUUCAUUCCACAAAUCCAUCAGAACAGCAGAUCAAUGAUGAAAGCAUGUUCUUUCCACAGUAUUUGGAAGACAUUUGUUAAACAUUAGCACCAGCUGUCGCAUGGUUCAGAGUCACUGUGAGGCCUGGGAGUGCUGCAUUUGCCUUACCUGGAUUUACUCAAGUGAACUGUUAGCUGGUGCAAUUUAAUAUUUCUGUCAAAUGUCAGACUGCCACGCUGGAAGGACCAAAAGGAAGUAGGGUGCAGGCUUUGCUGUCUCCACAUUUGUGGUUUGGAAGGAGGUGCUGGAACAGGCAGGAGCACAGGGAAGCCCAAAGCAGCCAAAGAGAACAGAAAAGUGCAGUGGUUCUGUUCUGCUGGCGGUGAGAAUUCUGAGAAGAGUGAUCUGCAGGGCUGCAGCUGUUUGCACAUCUCAGCUCUGUAGCUGAGGGAUCCCUUUGCACACUCUGUUACUCACAGCCCCACGAGGAUGGGGGACAGUGAACAGCCCAGGGCUGGGGAGAGAUGCAUUCUUCUGCAGACAGCUGGGGCUCAAAGCUGAGGGAAACCAGCCACAUCCACCUGGAAGAUUUACAGAGGCAACCUGGGGCCAUGCA
rnacentral:lncRNA from 1 species